rnacentral:rRNA from 1 species
GGCGACGACCGGCGAACGGGUGAGUAACGCGUACAUAUCUGCCUUAUACUAAGGGAUAGCCUUUGGAAACGAAGAUUAAUACCUUAUGGUCCCUUUGGGGUAAAGCUACGGCGGUAUAAGAUGAAUGUGCGUCCCAUUAGCUAGUUGGUAAGGUAACGGCUUACCAAGGCUACGAUAGGUAGGGGUCCUGAGAGGGAGAUCCCCCACACUGGUACUGAGACACGGACCAGACUCCUACGGGAGGCAGCAGUGAGGAAUAUUGGACAAUGGGCGCAAGCCUGAUCCAGCCAUGCCGCGUGUAGGAAGACGGCCCUAUGGGUUGUAAACUACUUUUAUACGGGAAGAAACCUAUCCUCGUGAGGAUAGCUGACGGUACCGUAAGAAUAAGCACCGGCUAACUCCGUGCCAGCAGCCGCGGUAAUACGGAGGGUGCAAGCGUUAUCCGGAAUCAUUGGGUUUAAAGGGUCCGUAGGCGGGCUAAUAAGUCAGUGGUGAAAUGCAGGGGCUCAACUCCGGCACUGCCAUUGAUACUGUUAGUCUUGAAUUAUUGUGAAGUGGUUAGAAUAUGUAGUGUAGCGGUGAAAUGCUUAGAUAUUACAUAGAAUACCGAUUGCGAAGGCAGAUCACUAACAAUAUAUUGACGCUGAUGGACGAAAGCGUGGGUAGCGAACAGGAUUAGAUACCCUGGUAGUCCACGCCGUAAACGAUGGUUACUAGCUGUUUGGACGAAUUGACGUUUGAGUGGCCAAGCGAAAGUGAUAAGUAACCCACCUGGGGGAGUACGUUCGCAAGAAUGAAACUCAAAGGAAUUGACGGGGGCCCGCACAAGCGGUGGAGCAUGUGGUUUAAUUCGAUGAUACGCGAGGAACCUUACCAGGGCUUAAAUGUAGUAUGACAGAUUUGGAAACAGAUUUUUCUUCGGACAUAUUACAAGGUGCUGCAUGGUUGUCGUCAGCUCGUGCCGUGAGGUGUCAGGUUAAGUCCUAUAACGAGCGCAACCCCUAUUGCUAGUUGCCAGCGAGUCAUGUCGGGGACUCUAGCGAGACUGCCGGUGCAAACCGUGAGGAAGGUGGGGAUGACGUCAAAUCAUCACGGCCCUUACGUCCUGGGCCACACACGUGCUACAAUGGUAGGGACAGAGAGCAGCCACCACGCGAGUGGGAGCGAAUCUAUAAACCCUAUCACAGUUCGGAUCGUAGUCUGCAACUCGACUACGUGAAGCUGGAAUCGCUAGUAAUCGCAUAUCAGCCAUGA